rnacentral:rRNA from 1 species
CAGUCGCCGCGGUAACACGUAGGGUGCGAGCGUUAAUCGGAAUUACUGGGCGUAAAGCGUGCGCAGGCGGUUAUGUAAGACAGGUGUGAAAUCCCCGGGCUUAACCUGGGAACUGCGCUUGUGACUGCACAGCUAGAGUAUGGCAGAGGGGGGUGGAAUUCCACGUGUAGCAGUGAAAUGCGUAGAGAUGUGGAGGAACACCGAUGGCGAAGGCAGCCCCCUGGGCCAAUACUGACGCUCAUGCACGAAAGCGUGGGGAGCAAACAGGAUUAGAUACCCGCGUAGUCCCUGUCUCUUAUAA